CAAUUUUCCACUUAUUUUCUCGAUCUGCAGUGUGCUUCUCUCGAUUUUGGUUUCGUCUCGUAUACGAAUCUUUUGAUUACAAUUCUGGUUCAUUUUGUUGUUUCGUUAGAUCUGUCACUGGAAUUUGGUUUUAGAUCUCUGAGAUUUGGAGUUUUUGUGAUCGUUGUGUGACUGAUCUAGGAUCAAAACUGUGCGAGAGAGCUUCUCUGUUGAGUUUACUGUGUUUUUUUUUUUCGAUUCCGAUUGCUAAAAUUUGAAAUCAGAAGAGUUAUUUUGGGCUUCUUGUUCUUGCAAAAAAUUUCAAGUGAUAUAUCAAUUUCGAUAAUAUUUUGUUGUUUCUCCUAUUGAUUGAUUCAUCAUAAAUCAGAAGAGUUGUUUCUGGUAAGAUCUAUGUUGCUGGAGGUGGUGGUGGUUUGGAAGUUGCGACGGCCAACAUCUCUCUGAGGACGACUUUCAACUUCUCUGCGAAUACGUUGGUGAAGAUAAGUUUGAAGACACAUGAGAGUUUUUCGUGAGAGAAGAAGACAUCAUGUUAUGGUCAAGUCUAAAUGGACAAUGGCUGCCUCUCCGUUCUCCUUCAACAAUGAUUUCUUCUCUGUUCUAACCAUAUCCUGAUUUGAUUUUUGCUCUCUCUUAUGUGUCGAACUCGUUUCAUCGACGUAGUAACACAGUCACUUAGGAAAAAGACAAUGAACUUCUUUAUCCUCUCCGUCGCCGUUUUCGUUGCUCUCGGUUUAUCAUCUCAUCCACAAUAUGUUGAUUCAUCUGCUGCCUCCUCACAGGAUCCUCUCAGACUCAAGUAGUUGUGUGUGUUUUAUGGUCUUUGUUGCUUUGGAGAAACUCUUUUGUGGUCAUAGCACCACAUCCACAUGUUCACAUGAAUCUCGCCAUUCACAAAAAAUGAACGAUGUACUUUGAAUUGGCAAUUAUUUUUCAUGUAUAAACUUGUGUCCAUACGUUUGAAUUGGAUUGGUAAUUUUUAAAUGGGCAUAUGAUAGGAUUGGUUAGUUCCA